UACGUAGGGUGCGAGCGUUGUCCGGAAUUACUGGGCGUAAAGAGCUCGUAGGUGGUUUGUCGCGUUGUCCGUGAAAACUCACAACUCAAUUGUGGGCGUGCGGGCGAUACGGGCAGACUGGAGUACUGCAGGGGAGACUGGAAUUCCUGGUGUAGCGGUGGAAUGCGCAGAUAUCAGGAGGAACACCGGUGGCGAAGGCGGGUCUCUGGGCAGUAACUGACGCUGAGACGCGAAAGCGUGGGGAGCGAACCGG
rnacentral:rRNA from 1 species